rnacentral:rRNA from 1 species
ACGCUGGCGGCGUBCCUAAUACAUGCAAGUCGAGCGGAUCUUGUUAAAAAGCUUGCUUUUUAACUUGGUUAGCGGCGGACGGGUGAGUAACACGUGGGCAACCUGCCUGUAAGACGGGGAUAACUCCGGGAAACCGGAGCUAAUACCCGAUACCACUUUCUUUCGCAUGAGAGGAAGAGGAAAGACUGAGAGUCGCUUACAGAUGGGCCCGCGGCGCAUUAGCUAGUUGGUGGGGUAAAGGCCUACCAAGGCGACGAUGCGUAGCCGACCUGAGAGGGUGAUCGGCCACACUGGGACUGAGACACGGCCCAGACUCCUACGGGAGGCAGCAGUAGGGAAUCUUCGGCAAUGGACGAAAGUCUGACCGAGCAACGCCGCGUGAGUGAAGACGGUCUUCGGAUUGUAAAGCUCUGUCAUCAGGGAAGAACGACCUGGGUAAGACCUAGGAGUGACGGUACCUGAGGAGGAAGCCCCGGCUAACUACGUGCCAGCAGCCGCGGUAAUACGUAGGGGGCAAGCGUUGUCCGGAAUUAUUGGGCGUAAAGCGCGCGCAGGUGGUGGUUUAAGUCUGAUGUGAAAGCCCACGGCUCAACCGUGGAAGGUCAUUGGAAACUGGAUCACUUGAGUGCAGGAGAGGAAAGUGGAAUUCCACGUGUAGCGGUGAAAUGCGUAGAUAUGUGGAGGAACACCAGUGGCGAAGGCGACUUUCUGGCCUGUAACUGACACUGAGGCGCGAAAGCGUGGGGAGCAAACAGGAUUAGAUACCCUGGUAGUCCACGCCGUAAACGAUGAGUGCUAGGUGUUAGGGGUUUCGACGCCCGUAGUGCCGCAGUUAACGCAAUAAGCACUCCGCCUGGGGAGUACGGUCGCAAGACUGAAACUCAAAUGAAUUGACGGGG